AUCAACUUGUGCAUGAACCUUCCUGUUUUCUUCAGCUUGUCUCUUGCUUAUCCUAAUGGCACCUGAGGCAAGGGUUGAGCCCAGAGCCAGCAGGCCCAGAAUGGCUGAACCAACAUACACUCCAUCUUUCACCAGCCUCUGGUAUGCUCUCCUGAUUGGAAUUGUCUGCAAGUGAACAAAUUCCCGAUAACUUGGGCAACAGAAAGGCAGAUUAAGGCCGUGAUUCCCAGUUCGUAGGCUGAGCUUCUGGGCAGGAAAAUUCGAGGAAGAACCUUUGCUUUGUUGGGAAAAGAAUUUGUGGGACCCAAGAGUGUGAGGCUUUGUCAAUGGGGGUUGUUGGGACCGGACCAGACCGGCGACAACUGUUCCUCGUUCCAUAGCAUCAGAUGCGAACUUGGGUUCAAGGAAUUAACAUCAACCGGUUCAAUAUUAAAUUCUUGCAAUGGGGCGGAUUUUGCCAAAUCUUAAGCCCCAUCUCAUCUGCACUGGCUAGUGGACUUGAAGCUUGCUACCAACCCCUCAAAUCCGGCCCAAGCCCGAUCUGAUGUUGGACCCGGCCAUGCAUCGGGUGAAGCGGAAUCAGGAAAGUAGCCCCAGGCCAUUACCACUGGAUGAAUGUGCAAGUUCUUGCCAAUGUUUCGAUUCUUUAAGCCACUCCGUUUCAGCAGAGGCGGGGUGCAGAUUGCACCUGAUGCAGCAACAGUUACGUCCGACUCCACGAUGCCUAUUUC